UACGAAGGGGGCUAGCGUUGUUCGGAAUUACUGGGCGUAAAGCGCGCGUAGGCGGACUGGCAAGUCGGGGGUGAAAUGCCGAGGCUCAACCUCGGAACUGCCUUCGAUACUGCCAGCCUUGAGGUCGGGAGAGGUGAGUGGAACUCCGAGUGUAGAGGUGAAAUUCGUAGAUAUUCGGAAGAACACCAGUGGCGAAGGCGGCUCACUGGCCCGAUUCUGACGCUGAGGCGCGAAAGCGUGGGGAGCAAACAGG
rnacentral:rRNA from 1 species